UACGGAGGGGGCUAGCGUUGUUCGGAAUUACUGGGCGUAAAGCGCACGUAGGCGGCUUUGUAAGUUAGAGGUGAAAGCCCAGGGCUUAACCCUGGAAUUGCCUUUAAGACUGCAUCGCUCGAAUUGUGGAGAGGUGAGUGGAAUUCCGAGUGUAGAGGUGAAAUUCGUAGAUAUUCGGAAGGAAACACCAGUGGCGAAGGCGACUCACUGGACACAUAUUGACGCUGAGGUGCGAAAAGCG
rnacentral:rRNA from 1 species